rnacentral:rRNA from 1 species
AGUGAACGCUGGCGGCGUGCUUAACACAUGCAAGUCGAACGAGAACGGGUUAUAGCUUGCUAUAAUUGUCAGCUAAGUGGCGCACGGGUGAGUAAUGUAUAGGUAAUAUGCCUCUUACUAAGGGAUAACAAAUGGAAACGUUUGCUAAUACCUUAUACUCCUUAUUAACAUAAGUUAAUAAGGGAAAGAUUUAUUGGUAAGAGAUUAGCCUGUAUUGUAUCAGUUAGUUGGUGGGGUAAUGGCUUACCAAGACUAUGACACAUAACUGGUUUGAGAGGAUGAUCAGGCACACUGGAACUGAGACACGGUCCAGACUCCUACGGGAGGCAGCAGUGGGGAAUAUUGCACAAUGGACGAAAGUCUGAUGCAGCAACGCCGCGUGGAGGAUGACACAUUUCGGUGCGUAAACUCCUUUUAAAUGAGAAGAUAAUGACGGUAUUAUAUGAAUAAGCACCGGCUAACUCCGUGCCAGCAGCCGCGGUAA